AAAAAAAAAAGGAAAAUCAAAAAAACAGAAACACUGUUUCAUUCAACGUAAGAUUUCAACCAUCUUCAUUUUCUCUUCCCAAACAACCCCGUAAUGGAAAUUUUAACCCAACCAUGAUUUAUUUUGCACAAACAAACUCUUCUUCAAUUAAAAACCACAAUCCAAUCUAAACCCAUCCAAAAAUCUAAUAUUUAUCAAAUCAACCCACCCAAAUUUCAGUUUAUUCAUCAAAUCAACCCACCAAAAUUCAGAAAAUUCAACCCCAACCAUGGCUAUAAAUAGCCAUGAUUUCUCCACCAUUAUCACUCACUCACAACUCCAAUUAAAUCCUCGCCGGAAAACCACCACCUUCGCCGGAAAAAGCCUCCAAAACCACCCCCAAAACCUCUGUUAUUUUCGCCCCUCACCACCUCUCUCUCUUCCAUCUGUUUUCGUUCAACCACAGCAGCACCUCCGCGGCUGCCACCGCCAACCUCCUUCCACCCUCUGGCCACCAGCUUGCGCCCUCGACCGACGAACCACCUCUCUCUUUCGCUGGACCUUCUUCUCUCUCUCGCCCCAACUCCCUUCCUCUCGCGUCCCCUUUCUCCCUCGUGGCUGACGAGCCACACCCAGCACCACCUGACCGUCGUCGCUCGACGAAUCCGACGAUCCCCUCCGUUCCGCCACCUGCUGCCGGAGCUCCACCUCGCCGCAGCCAACCCUCCUUCCUCCAUCCCCUGUUUUUUUUCGUGCUUGCUCAACUGAGCAGGAGAUUAAAUGGAAAGGAUAUUACAGCCUCCCCCGGCUUUCAAGGUUAUUAAGCAGGAAUCCAGCUGAAGAUAAGUUCACAAAGACCAUGGCACAAUCAUAUGUGGCUUUACGGACAUCUUCAACAUUUUUCAAACUCAACUCUUCCAAUUUCGACCACAAAUUCUCUUUUCGCUCCUCUGAUUCUCACUUUCACUCUCCUCCGUUCAAGCCUCUUUCUCCCAGGUAUGCCAAACUCAACAUUUCAAUUUAUGCAUUUUCUAUUCAUCUCAAUUCUUUGAUUUUAGCUUAUUUUUUCGAUUUAAUUUUGUUAGGGCUUUAAAACUGAAUAAUUCUUCUAAGAAUAUUUGUUAAACUUCGACCGUUAAAAUGUUACAUUCUGAUGGAUUUGGGACUCCUCGAAGAAGUGAUCGAAAAGAAAGAGACGAGAGAGGAUGUGAUCGAAUAAAACAGUGGAGGAAGAAGGCAAUCGAAGGCAGUGGAGGAAGGAGACGAAGGUGGUGGUGGCGGUCUGGUGGAGAUUUUGAAUUGGUGGAUUUAAGAUGUGGGAUUUCGGGUUUGUAGGUGGUGGUGGGGGUUAGGCAAAGGUGGGUUUGUGCGAGGGUAUGGGGUUGAGGGUUUGGGGUUGGGUUGUUGUUGAGGUUAGGGUGCCGGCUAGGGUGGUGGCUGGGGUUAGGUGGUUAGCCAUGGAAGAAGGAGAUGAGAGAGCAAAGAUGAGAAAUAUUAAAAAUGAAAAAUAAAACUAGAUUUUUUUCCUUUCUUUUAACCGGUUAAAUAGGUCAUAUGUCAUGUAACUUAUUAAAGGCUUAAGUGGUAUCAAAGUUGGCUUAUUCCAGGAUAAUUCAGUGGUUAACUUAUUAAAAGAAGACUGGUUAAAGGUUAAAUUAUUUUUGACAUUUUUUCCCUAAUUGUAAUAGCCCUACUUUUAAGAGCAUUUAUUUAAAAGCUAAUUAUAAUUAUUAAGUUAAUUAUGUUUCGGAUACUCUUAUUUUAUUUGAGUUGGAGUUGAAUUAUAUUGGCGUGUUGGUUAUGUAUUUAUUUAUUUAAUUAUAUGAUAUUAUUAUUUUAUAUUUUGGGUUUGUGCAAUUAGUUGAGCGGUGUUCCGCAAAUUUUGAAAAAUCAAAGUCGGUUUCCUCGUUAAUUUCUUUUCCCCUAUGUCGGUUUGUUUGGAUGAAAUAAAACCAAAAACCCAUAAAUCUUCCUUCUCUCUCCCCAUGUCUCUCAGAACCUCAAAACCCAACCCCCAAAAUUGAAAAACCCGAAACCCCGUGAACCCCAUGAAACCCCAAACCCAUCUAACUGUUUCUCUAUCCAUCGCCUGCUGGCUGCUGCUGCAUCACUCCUCCUGCCUCGCCGGCGUUUUACGUUUGCUGGAGCCGCGUCGAACCACCGCAACCCUGUUGCCGCUGCUACUCUUCCAUUUUCUCUCUUCAUGGUUCGCUUCUCCCUUGUUCGCCCUUUUAUUUGAUGUUGUGUUUGGGUCGUCAGCCACCGUCGAGUCACGCUGCCACUUGCCCGUGUUGAUGUCCACCCUCGUCGGCUCUCCGUCACCACUCGCCGGAGGCCCAACUCCCCUCCCCUAUUCUUCGCUGCUCUUGUGAGCAGUGGUACACCCGCACUUCUUUUCCCCUUGAAGUUCUGAUUAAACACAAGUUUAAUUAACCUUGUUAGCUUGUUUAAGUUGGACCUAAAUUAGAUUUUAGUGAGUUAAUUUAGAAUUGGAUAUUUGUUUCAUUUCAAGAUUUGCUUAUGAUUAGCUAAUUGAUUAUGGAGUAUUAGUUUCAUUGAGUGGAGUUAUAGUGGUUGUUAUUGAUCGUUGUUGUUGUUCUUGAAGGGUUGGCAUUGCUGUUAUGGUGGUUGUUCUUGUUUGUGAUGUUGUAUUGUUGUUGUUGUUGUUGUUGUUGUUGUUGUUGUUGUUGUUGUGGUAUUGUUGGUGGUGGUGAUGCGUUGUUGUUGCCUUGUUGUUGAUGAUGGGUUGUGGUGGUGGUGUUGUGGUGCCACUGCUGUUGGGUGGUUGUUUUGUUGCAGUGGUUGUUGUUGAGUUGUUGCUAGUUAUGAUUAUGAAUUAAGAAUUAUGGAAUUGGGAUGUUAAAGGUUGAUAAUUUCUAAAUUGGGUAUUAGUUAUGAUUAUGUUUUGUAUUUUUGAUUAGUCUAAGUUUGGUUAUUGAUUGUUAUGAGGUAAAUUGUUGGAGAAUGAUUCUAGAGUUGAGUUCCCUUUGGAGAUAAGAUUAAUGAAGGAAAUUAUGUUGGUGGAAUCUGAAUUGCAGUUCAGGUAACUUUUAUGUUCAGUAAAAUUAUUUACUCAUGCCCUUCUAUGUGUGAAUCUCUUUGUUCUAUUUUCUAUAAUUAAGUUCGUACUAUGGCCAUAGAUAUGAAUGUGAUGAUGAAAUGUCAUUAACUGAUUAUGAAUACGCAGCUGUUUUGCUGGCUUAGUUUAUGAACUGAAAAUAGAAAGUGGGCAAGGUAUGGGUGGAGGAUGGUUACUCUUUUGACCUGAUACGGUCGGCUACGCUCCAUAACGAAUCUUGAGGAUAAUAUUGUUGGGCUCCAUAACGAACCUUGGAAGCAGCAUUUGUCUAAAGCCGGUACUUGCCACUAAUUUGUUUAAGAGAAUGAGCUAUGCCAGUGUUGUAAACGAAAGAAAUGAUUUGACAAAUAAAAUGUUUAUAACGGGCUUAAGUAAAGGUUACGAGUUUUCUACUCAUUUCGAAAUUUUGUUUGUUUUGUAUUUCUUCCCUCAAUUUUGCAUUUUGUUUGUUUUGUAUUUCUUCCCUCAAUUUUGCAGGUAGUGGAUUGAGAGUUCGAAGUUGGAAGUGGCCGGAGCGAGAUUAAGAUUUUGAUUAUAGAUUAAGUUUGUAUUUUAGAUAGCUGAUUCGAGAAUAGUUAUUAAUAUUUCAUUGUAUAUAAUAUUUGGGAAUUUAGUCAAUUUAUUUGUGUAUUUAAGUAUAUUUUUUCCGCUGCGAGUUAAUUUAAUUAAGAGCUAAUUUUAGUUUA